ensembl:lncRNA PVT1 Pvt1 oncogene
CAUGGGCCAGAGGAGGCAGGGAUAAGAGGAGUGGUUUCUUGGCCACCAGAAUGGAAACGUUUUUGUUUUCUUGUGUGCUUUUGUGGAAAUGGUGGCAGUUGCUCACUAAAGAGAACUAAAACCCUUUUACUAGAGCCCCACCAGGUCUGAAGAGGAUGGGCGCGUGGGAGCCAUUAUCUUGUAAAGGACGCUAUUGAGACCUUGCUACUGCUGCAGUGAAGAGCACAGGAAAAGCCAAGCUUAAAAAACACUGGGCGAAUCCUAAGAACUUUUCAUGCAGAAACACAUGCAUGAUGAGAAGAGAAUCUUCAUUACAACAUUGUUUGACACAGAAAAACGAGACUCAGCUUAAAUGCUCAUUAGUUAGUGAUUGGUUGAUUAAGUUGUGAUAAAAUGGAACACUAAUACAGCUGUUUAAAAAAUUAGUAAAAAAAAAUCAGUAUGUGAGAUGAUGCACCUGUUAAUUAACUCAACUUAGCCAUUCCACAAUGUAUACAUCAUUCAAAACUUCACAUCAUAUAUUAUAAAUAUAUACAAUUUUUAUUUGUGAAUUAAAAAUUAAUCUAAAAAAAUUAGUGGCUAUAUGAAGUAAUUGGGAACAAUCUUGAAGCUAUAUUAACUACCAAAGAGCAAAGUCAACCUUAACAAUGCUGACUUUUUAAAGAAUAGUGCCUAGAACACUGUGUGGAGUAUGCUAACAGCUACACACUAAUGCACAGCCACCAACCCCAGAUCAGUUACGUGAACUUCUGCAUUCACAAACACACUUAACACACUCUGUGGCUAUUGCCUCUUUACUGACCUGUAAGUCAGUUCUAGAAGACAGACGAUCCAUGAAGGCAGGUCCUAGCCUGCCCAUUUGCAUUGGUAUCUCCAAGGCCAAGCUAGAGAAGGCACACAAUAGGCUUUCCACUAAUAUUUGUGAAUGAAUGAAUGAACAGAGAGAGGAGUUUUCUUUCCACAGUUUCCUUCUACCUGCUACUCCUUGAGCAUAUGAGGCUGGAAUCUAAGCCCUGAGGUCACUCACUGCUCUCCUGGGUACUAUCCCUGGCCUCCCGUCCUUUUCCUUGAGCUUCUGUGCUCUGCAAGGCUUUCUCAUUAUCCUUUAGGCUACAGAGAAACAAGGAGACGGGAGAGCCUUGAAAUGGACCUUCAAGAUUACAAUGUGUAGCUGACAUUGUCAGUUAAGUUGGGCAGAUCUGACUUCGCUGAUUAAGUGGAUGUAUGAGCCGAUCCUCCCCAGAAGCUGGGAUCAGCUUCCCCAUCUGAUGAAGGACAGAAUAACGGGCUCCCAGAUUCACAAGCCCCACCAAGAGGAUCACCCCAGGAACGCUUGGAGGCUGAGGAGUUCACUGAGGCUACUGCAUCUUGAGACUCAGGAUGAAGACCCAGCUUGGGGCUGUCAAAGGUUUUUUGCAUGUCUGACACCCAUGACUCCACCUGGACCUUAUGGCUCCACCCAGAAGCAAUUCAGCCCAACAGGAGGACAGCUUCAACCCAUUACGAUUUCAUCUCUGCCCCAACCACUCAGCAGCAAGCACCUGUUACCUGUCCACCCCCACCCCUUCCCCCAAACUGCCUUUGAAAAAUCCCUAACCUAUGAGCUUUGAAUAAGAUGAGUACGAACUUCAUCGCCCACGUGGCGUGGCCGGCCUCGUGUCUAUUAAAUUCUUUUUCUACUACAA